GAAUGUCGGUGAUAUUGUUCUUGUAAAAGAGAAGGAUUUUCAUAGAUCCAUGUGGCCUAUGGCAAUAGUGACGAAACUUUUUCCAAGUGACGAUUUCCUUGUCAGGAAAGUGGAAAUCAAACUCUAUAAGGAAAACAAGAUUUGUGUGUUCGUUCGACCCGUAGUCGAUCUUGUCCUGUUGGUAUCUUCAGAUGAUUAGUGACUCAAUUUUCAUGGAUAAUGACUGAUAUUUGAUUUUAUGUAUUAUGUAUGUAUGAUUUUGCUAGUUUAGCAUAUUGAAUUUGAUGUAGUGAUUUUUUUAUAAAAAUCAGGAGGGGAGUGUGCUGGAUUCCGGAUUUUUUUUUUUUUAUAUUUGUCCGGGAUUGGUUUUGUUUUGUAUGUUACAAAAAGCUCCCAGCACGUUCACGGCAUGGUACCCGUACUCAUGCAUUUUGACUUCCAACUUUCCACAACUUCAUGGCACCAAAGUUAUUUUACCCUCCCUGGAGGUUGUCUCUCUGCCAUUAAAAGUAAAGAAACA